rnacentral:rRNA from 1 species
UACGUAGGGUGCGAGCGUUGUCCGGAAUCAUUGGGCGUAAAGAGCGUGUAGGCGGCCAGAAAAGUCCGCUGUGAAAACUCGAGGCUCAACUUCGAGCUGUCGGUGGAAACUUUCUGGCUAGAGUCCGGAAGAGGAGAAUGGAAUUCCUGGUGUAGCGGUGAAAUGCGCAGAUAUCAGGAAGAACACCCGUGGCGAAGGCGGUUCGCUGGGACGGGACUGACGCUGAGACGCGAAAGCGUGGGGAGCGAACAGG